CAGUCGAGCGAACAGAGAAGGAGCUUGCUCCUUUGACGUUAGCGGCGGACGGGUGAGUAACACGUGGGCAACCUACCUUAUAGUUUGGGAUAACUCCGGGAAACCGGGGCUAAUACCGAAUAAUCUGUUUCACCUCAUGGUGAAAUAUUGAAAGACGGUUUCGGCUGUCGCUAUAGGAUGGGCCCGCGGCGCAUUAGCUAGUUGGUGAGGUAACGGCUCACCAAGGCGACGAUGCGUAGCCGACCUGAGAGGGUGAUCGGCCACACUGGGACUGAGACACGGCCCAGACUCCUACGGGAGGCAGCAGUAGGGAAUCUUCCACAAUGGGCGAAAGCCUGAUGGAGCAACGCCGCGUGAGUGAAGAAGGAUUUCGGUUCGUAAAACUCUGUUGUAAGGGAAGAACAAGUACAGUAGUAACUGGCUGUACCUUGACGGUACCUUAUUAGAAAGCCACGGCUAACUACGUGCCAGCAGC
rnacentral:rRNA from 1 species